UUUCCUCAAAAUUAUUCUGAACCAAUCAGAAUGAGCAAGCAAUGAUGCAAGAUGUCUUCUUUCAAUAGUCGACACUCCGGAAGUGAUCAUCUAAGGGGUAGAGAAAGCCGUUACCCUGAGUAACGAUUAGAUAUACCCCAAAUCCUCAAUUUGAAGUUCUGAAACGAGGUCGCCGUAGGGGGCACCGAUAUUCUGGUAUUGCAACGAAAACAGAAGCGACGCAGACGCGAGCCAUACUUGCUCAAUAGAAUGAGUGCGUUGUGUUGAAAAAACAGUCGCUAGUGUUUACAAUUUUCUUAGACAAAAGUAAAUACAUUUAGUUGUGUUUUUCUGUUACUUCAAACUUGUCGUUUCUUGUUACGAAAAUGGCGAAUCUUAUGAAUCGCCGAUAUUCGUAUGGAAAUUUUGUAUAUUUUUAUAUGAAUGACAAAAAGUGAACUAUUCUACGAUUCUAAUGCGGAAGAACUUUAUUGGGGCCAAGUAAGGAAAAAAAUUGGAUAGUCAAAGAUGGAUGCAACAAUUGAGAGAGAGUGUAGUGCUUUAGGUGGCCUCUUUCAACAGAUUAUAACUGAUAUGAAAAAUGGAGCACCUUUAUGGGAAGAUUUAAUUU